GCAUAUCAAUAAGCGGAGGAAAAGAAACCAACCGGGAUUGCCUCAGUAACGGCGAGUGAAGCGGCAAGAGCUCAAAUUUGAAAGCUGGCUCCUUCGGGGUCCGCAUUGUAAUUUGCAGAGGAUGCUUCGGGUGCGGCCCCUGUCUAAGUGCCCUGGAACGGGCCGUCAGAGAGGGUGAGAAUCCCGUCUGGGAUGGGGUGUCCGCGCCCGUGUGAAGCUCCUUCGACGAGUCGAGUUGUUUGGGAAUGCAGCUCUAAAUGGGUGGUAAAUUUCAUCUAAAGCUAAAUACUGGCCGGAGACCGAUAGCGCACAAGUAGAGUGAUCGAAAGAUGAAAAGCACUUUGAAAAGAGAGUUAAAAAGCACGUGAAAUUGUUGAAAGGGAAGCGCUUGCGACCAGACUCGCCUCCAGGGUUCAGCCGGCAUUCGUGCCGGUGUACUUCCCUGGGGGCGGGCCAGCGUCGGUUUGGGCGGCCGGUCAAAGGCUCCCGGAAUGUAGUGCCCUUCGGGGCACCUUAUAGCCGGGAGUGCAAUGCGGCCAGCCUGGACCGAGGAACGCGCUUCGGCACGGACGCUGGCAUAAUGGUCGCAAACGACCCGUCUUGAAACACGGACCAAGGAGUCUAACAUCUACGCGAGUGUUCGGGUGUCAAACCCGUACGCGCAGUGAAAGCGAACGGAGGUGGGAGCCCCCUCGCGGGGCGCACCAUCGACCGAUCCUGAUGUCUUCGGAUGGAUUUGAGUAAGAGCGUAAAUGUGGGGACCCGAAAGAUGGUGAACUAUGCCUGAAUAGGGCGAAGCCAGAGGAAACUCUGGUGGAGGCUCGCAGCGGUUCUGACGUGCAAAUCGAUCGUCAAAUUUGGGUAUAGGGGCGAAAGACUAAUCGAACCAUCUAGUAGCUGGUUCCUGCCGAAGU
rnacentral:rRNA from 1 species